GAGUAUGGCCAUACCACCCUGAACGUGGCUGAUCUUGUCUGAUCUCGGAAGCUAAGCAGGUGGCUCAAGCCUGUAAUCC
rnacentral:rRNA from 1 species